UGUAUUUUGUUCCCCACCACCGCUCCACUGGUCACUACCUCUCAGGGUACCAGGACAGCACUCAUCCCAACAGAGUAAAAUUAGCGCUUAACCCUUCUGUUGCAUGUGCUUUUCUUACAAUAUUGCCUCCCAAUAGACUUUUUAGGCUGAAGGUAUUCUUAGUCUGUGACCUAGUAAAUCAGUAUCAGGAUGUAUUUAUUGAUUCAUCGAGUCCUCAAAGCAGUUUUGUAAGUCACUGUGGAUAGGAAUUUAAAUAAAAGAGUCCAAAGAAAAACAGCAAAGCAACAGCAGAGAGCAGUGUGGAGUCAAAAUCAGCCACAGCCACUGCUCACAACUUGCUCAUCAUCAGCUCUCAAUUCAGAGAAGAGUUUUCUGUCCAAACAUAAGAAAAAUACACUCAUCUUCCUUCAUUUUCUCUCAGUCCGAAUGAAUUUGACACUUGGACUACUGACAUUUGGCCUGUUUUUUCCAGAGCUGUUUCUGUAAAAAAAAAAAAAACACUCUUUAUUCCAUUUUUAACGUGCCAGUAAGUUUAUUUAAACACACAGCUAAUUUUAAAUGAUCAUAUACACAUUCCCUUUAAAUGUAGUUAUGCUGAGUGGAAAGUAGAAGGUCAGGAUAUGCAUGUCAGGAUAAAUGAUGGUACCAUGUCAUCAAUGCGGUAAACUGCAGCUCAGGGUGAAUUUUGAUUUCAAAACAGCCUGUGUGUGUGGGUGUGUGUGUGUGUGUGCGUGUUUGUGAGUGUGUGUCUGGUAGAUAGUGACAGCAGUUGCAAACAAAAAAAAGCUGCAACUAAGAAUUGCUUGCAGGAGAGAGUGGACGUGAUGACUAGUGAAGAGCUGGAAAGCCAUGUUUACAUGUUAAAACAAGUCGCGUGUAAAAACAUUUUCGAUCAGUACAUGUCGAUGCACUGGAGCAUGACCAUAGCCGUGACAGAUCUUGGAACAUCCUGCUAACAUGCCUAAGCCAAAUUCAACUUCAAAAGGUCUUAAUGGGGUCACUGAAUUUUAACCACUUCUGCUCUGUUUUGCGUUGAAUUUAGAAACGUUCAGCAGUAACUGCAAAUCUGUGGCUUUUCAUGUCACUUAUGGUCUUUAUAGGCAGGAAUGCAUUUGUGAGGGUGAGGGGUAGAUGAUCCUUAAGGAAAUAAAAGAUAUGGCAAAACAGAA